GCCCGGCUGGCUCGGUCGGUAGAGCAUGUGACUCCUGAUCACAGGGUUGUGGGUUCAAUCCCCAGAUUGGGUG